CGUAGGGUGCGAGCGUUAAUCGGAAUUACUGGGCGUAAAAGGGUGCGCAGGCGGCUUGGAAAGAACGGUGUGAAAUCCCGGGGCUCAACCUCGGAACUGCACUAUUAACUGCCAAGCUAGAGUAUGUCAGAGGGGGUGAAUUCCGCGUGUAGCAGUGAAAUGCGUAGAUAUGCGGAGGAACACCGAUGGCGAAGGCAGCCCCCUGGGAUGGUACUGACGCUCAGGCACGAAAGCGUGGGUAGCGGAACAGGAUU
rnacentral:rRNA from 1 species